UUCCCGUUAAUUCUGUGACUGUUUCUUCUCGAGUGCAAUACGAAAUUUACUCAUAUUUAGAUGGGCGUUCCAUUCAGCCAAUUAGUUUCCCACUUUAUUGCCUUAAUCUUCCAAACCGUCCAGGUGCACCGAAUGCCACCGGCCGGCAUUGCCAUCCCGAUCUCCCUCCUCAGGCCAUAGAAUUGCGAAAUGAGAUGUCCUCCGUGUGCCCCUUGUCCUCCUCCACCACUUUGCUUCAGAAAGUUUGUACUGAUAUGCUCUGUACAGCCCACACCGACCGUGCCAUCUACAGCCUCAAAUUCGAGUUCAUCGCUAUAUCUUGCCGUCUAGAGUGAUCACCACGAAGCUUCCUUGCACCAGAAGAUGUUUCUCAUCAAGGCCUACCUCCAGGACAUGGUCAGACGUGUUUUUGUCGCAGUUGGCCGCGACAUCAACGGAGUUCAUCAGAGCGGUACGUCGCGUGCGUUCAUCUUUUGCACCAUUCCUUUUUCUAGUGUGAUGUCCUAAUCAUCGCCUAACUCCAAGACAUGGUGCUGCAUCGUUUUGUCGCUGGGGUUCGCGCCGCCGAUUUGAGGAUUGACUCCGACGAACCCUCCGUGUGUCGCGGUGCAGCAACCUCCGCGAAGAUGUCCGAUGCCGGUCACCACUCUGGCCGCGUGCGUUGCCAUUCCAGGAAAGGGGCAAGGUCGGCAAACACGCCAUUGUUUUCAACAUCUACUGCCGCACAUGGUUGUCCACUUCACCGAGCCGAGGAACGACCGGAGGAGCACCAGCAUCCGCGCUCGCAACAGCGCCGUCGUCAUCUUGGAACAGCACUGCCACCACCCGUUCGUUUGAAGAGCGACGUGUUUUGUUGAAAGAAAAGAGAACACUCUUCGACUACAAAAAGGCAAGUGAUACAUACCAAAAGUCCCAGUUUUAAUUCUUGCACUGUAGUGUUUUUAUAGUAGACAUGUCUAGGGUUUAUGCUUUAUGCCUGGUAAUAAAUCCUAGUAGUUUAGUUACACCACUCCUAG